AGGGAAGAACUGAGUCGGCCGCGGGCUUCGAUGUUGGGAAGGAUCGGGGCAACCAUGGGCUUCGGCUUCGAAAAGCAUCGAGUUGGUGUCGCAGGAGGGAGUCGGUGCUGCUCAAAAUCGGAUCGAUCUAUGGGUUCCCUUUGAGCUUCGACGCCGUCUGGGGAUAGCUUCGGCGUGGGCCAGGACCAUUUGAUGUAGGCUAGAACUAAUUGCUGGCAAGCUUUGGCAUAAGUCGGAUGUAGGG
rnacentral:lncRNA from 1 species